rnacentral:rRNA from 1 species
AUUGAACGCUGGCGGCAUGCCUUACACAUGCAAGUCGAACGGUAACAGGCCGCAAGGUGCUGACGAGUGGCGAACGGGUGAGUAAUGCAUCGGAACGUGCCCAGUCGUGGGGGAUAACUGCUCGAAAGAGCAGCUAAUACCGCAUACGACCUGAGGGUGAAAGCGGGGGACCGUAAGGCCUCGCGCGAUUGGAGCGGCCGAUGUCAGAUUAGCUAGUUGGUGGGGUAAAGGCCUACCAAGGCAACGAUCUGUAGUUGGUCUGAACGGACGACCAGCCACACGGGGACUGAGACACGGCCCAGACUCCUACGCGAGGCAGCAGUGGGGAAGUUUGGACAAUGGGCGCAAGCCUGAUCCAGCAAGGCCGCGUGCAGGAAGAAGGCCUUCGGGUUGUAAACUGCUUUUGUCAGGGAAGAAAUCUUCUGGGCUAAUACCCCGGGAGGAUGACGGUACCUGAAGAAUAAGCACCGGCUAACUACGUGCCAGCAGCCGCCGCGGUAA